ensembl:lncRNA
UGUAAAUAUAGCAGAAAUGUUAAGUCAUGGCAUGAACCAGUGAUUGAGCACCUGCUGGGAAGGCAGGGCCAAUCCAGGAGAGCUCAGGUACAUGCAAUGAACUGAGUGACCAGAAGGGGGUGGAGUUGGUAGUGGAGGCGGCAGUAUCUUGCUGGAGAUUUUCUGAAGUGCUUCAUUCCUGUUAAAAACAAAGCUGAGAGGAUACCACUCUGAUUAUAUUAACCUGUUUCUAAAGAGAUGAGAAUUUUCCAGUAUUUUUCAUGAUUCACUCCUAGCAUGGGAACUGCAGAGAUUUGACAGACUUUGGGGACUUAAUUAGAAGAACUCUCCUUUGGCGUUCUUGCCACCAAUUAUUAAAAUCUCAAGCAAAUCUUUAAGACCUAGAGAAAGCUACUGGAUGCAUUGGGAACAUUGGCAGUUGUUGGAAAAUCCAACAGAAAAGGAUGAGCACUGAGAACACACAAGCUAUAUAUUAUACUAUAUAUAAUAUAGAGGGUGAUAUUUCUUAAGAUCUGCAAUAUCCAGACGUACUUUUAUUCAUGACACUAGAUUCCAGGACUGAGGAUACUUGGAAAAGUGACCUGUUGUUGGCUCCACACAGUAACUGUUAGCCAUCAGUAUAUCUCACCUUAGGGCUGCUGGAAUGGCAGGAUAUGAGAAAGUAGUUAUAGCCUAGGACAUUUAAUAUAGUGUGCCUGACUCAAAAUAGUGUUUGUAGUAUUGCUUGAAUCUAUUUGUGUCAGCAGUUGCUACAAAGAAGGUAGCUCCUGUGGGUAAUGAAUUUUCUGAAGAUCCUAAAAAUAGAUCUCUUUCCUUUAUUUUCCUUCUGACUGGGGAAAAAAAAAAAAUUGCAAUAAAUAUUCUUUUAAAAAUGUAAAA